rfam:Triticum aestivum genome assembly, contig: Triticum_aestivum_CS42_TGACv1_scaffold_306242_4AS
CCACUGCUCAGUUGGUAGAGCACAAAGCUCUCAACCUUGUGGACAUGGGUGCAAGCCCCAUAAUGGG